AGAGUUUGAUCCUGGCUCAGAUUGAACGCUGGCGGUAUGCUUAACACAUGCAAGUCGAACGGUAACAGCAAGAGCUUGCUCUUGGCUGACGAGUGGCGGACGGGUGAGUAACGCGUAGGGAUCUACCUUCUGGUGGGGGAUAGCCCGGAGAAAUCCGGAUUAAUACCGCAUAAGACCUAAGGGUGAAAAGGGGCCAAUUCUUGAAAGCUCUUGCCGGAAGAUGAACCUACGUUAGAUUAGCUAGUUGGUGGGGUAAUGGCCUACCAAGGCGACGAUCUAUAGCUGGUCUGAGAGGAUGAUCAGCCACACUGGAACUGAGACACGGUCCAGACUCCUACGGGAGGCAGCAGUGGGGAAUAUUGGACAAUGGGCGCAAGCCUGAUCCAGCAAUACCGCGUGUGUGAAGAAGGCUCUAGGGUCGUAAAGCACUUUCAGUAGGGAGGAAAGGGUUGUAGUUAAUACCUGCAAUCUGUGACGUUACCUACAGAAGAAGCACCGGCUAACUCCGUGCCAGCAGCCGCGGUAAUACGGAGGGUGCAAGCGUUAAUCGGAAUUACUGGGCGUAAAGCGCGCGUAGGCGGAUUGUUAAGUCUCAUGUGAAAGCCCUGGGCUCAACCUGGGAACUGCAUGGGAUACUGGCAAUCUAGAAUACAGUAGAGGGUAGUGGAAUUUCAGGUGUAGCGGUGAAAUGCGUAGAGAUCUGAAGGAACAUCAGUGGCGAAGGCGACUACCUGGACUGAUAUUGACGCUGAGGUGCGAAAGCGUGGGGAGCAAACGGGAUUAGAUACCCCGGUAGUCCACGCCGUAAACGAUGGAUACUAGUUGUUGGGAUUUAUCUCAGUGACUAAGCGAAAGUGAUAAGUAUCCCACCUGGGGAGUACGGUCGCAAGACUGAAACUCAAAGGAAUUGACGGGGGCCCGCACAAGCGGUGGAGCAUGUGGUUUAAUUCGAUGAUACGCGAGGAACCUUACCAGGGCUUAAAUGUAGAGUGACAGGGCUAGAGAUAGCUUUUUCUUCGGACACUUUACAAGGUGCUGCAUGGUUGUCGUCAGCUCGUGCCGUGAGGUGUCAGGUUAAGUCCUAUAACGAGCGCAACCCCUAUUGUUAGUUGCUAACAGGUAAUGCUGAGGACUCUAGCGAGACUGCCGGUGCAAACCGCGAGGAAGGUGGGGAUGACGUCAAAUCAUCAUGGCCCUUACGACCUGGGCUACACACGUGCUACAAUGGACAGUACAGAGGGCUGCAACCCCGCGAGGGUGAGCGAAUCCCGGAAAACUGUUCGUAGUCCGGAUCGGAGUCUGCAACUCGACUCCGUGAAGUCGGAAUCGCUAGUAAUCGCGAAUCAGAAUGUCGCGGUGAAUACGUUCCCGGGCCUUGUACACACCGCCCGUCACACCAUGGGAGUGGGCUGCAAAAGAAGUGGGUAGUUUAACCUUCGGGAGAACGCUCACCACUUUGUGGUUCAUGACUGGGGUGAAGUCGUAACAAGGUAACC
rnacentral:rRNA from 1 species